rnacentral:misc_RNA from 1 species
AAGUCGUAACAAGGUUUCCGUAGGUGAACCUGCGGAAGGAUCAUUAUCACGUUGCAAAACACUUAUCAACCUUGCGUGCACUCGGUUCCUUCAGAAUAUUUUAUGGGUUUGGUGGUUUUUGGGUUGUUUGUUGAAGUGGUUUGGAACACCCGCCAUCUUUGGUCUCACAGUCUUUUGAUUGUUCGACCAGCCCUGUUCUGAAGAGCUGUUUUUUGCGGUACCACCUCAGCCGCGUCUUGUUUCACCUUUUUUCUUUUUAAACCCCUGUACGAUUAAUGAACUGAUUUGGUUCUUUUGUCUGGUCAUUCAGUUGAUCUGCGAAAGAAUUCACUUACAAAAACAUCAAAACAACUCUUAACAACGGAUAUCUUGGUUCCC